AGAGUUUGAUCAUGGCUCAGAACGAACGCUGGCGGCAGGCCUAACACAUGCAAGUCGAACGCUCGUAGCAAUACGGGAGUGGCAGACGGGUGCGUAACGCGUGGGAACAUACCCUUUGGUUCGGAAUAACUUAGGGAAACUUGAGCUAAUACCGGAUACGCCCGAGAGGGGAAAGAUUUAUUGCCGAAGGAUUGGCCCGCGUCUGAUUAGCUAGUUGGUAGGGUAACGGCCUACCAAGGCGACGAUCAGUAGCUGGUCUGAGAGGAUGAUCAGCCACACUGGGACUGAGACACGGCCCAGACUCCUACGGGAGGCAGCAGUGGGAAUAUUGGACAAUGGCGCAAGCCUGAUCCAGCCAUGCCGCGUGAGUGAUGACGGCCUUAGGGUUGUAAAGCUCUUUACCUGGGAAGAUAAUGACGGUACCAGGAGAAUAAGCCCCGGCUAACUUCGUG
rnacentral:rRNA from 1 species